UCAGGAUGAACGCUAGCUACAGGCUUAACACAUGCAAGUCGAGGGGCAGCGAGAAGGAAGCUUGCUUCUUGUCGGCGACCGGCGCACGGGUGAGUAACGCGUAUCCAACCUUCCCCUUAGUAGGGCAUAGCCCGUAGAAAUGCGGAUUAAUACCCUAUGUUGUUCGAUGCGGGCAUCUAAGUUGAACCAAAGGUUUACCGCUAAGGGAUGGGGAUGCGUCUGAUUAGGCAGCAGGCGGGGUAACGGCCCACCUGGCCUACGAUCAGUAGGGGUUCUGAGAGGAAGGUCCCCCACAUUGGAACUGAGACACGGUCCAAACUCCUACGGGAGGCAGCAGUGAGGAAUAUUGGUCAAUGGGCGCGAGCCUGAACCAGCCAAGUAAGCGUGCAGGACGACGGCCCUAUGGGUUGUAAACUGCUUUUAUGCGGGGAUAAAGUGACGUACGUGUACGUUUUUGUAGGUACCGCAUGAAUAAGGACCGGCUAAUUCCGUGCCAGCCGCCGC
rnacentral:rRNA from 1 species